UGGAUUGGCAUGGGCGAAAGCCUGAUCAGCAAUGCCGCGUGUGUGAAGAAGGCCUUCGGGUUGUAAAGCACUUUUGUCCGGAAAGAAAUGGCUCUGGUUAAUACCUGGGGUCGAUGACGGUACCGGAAGAAUAAGGACCGGCUAACUACGUGCCAGCAGCCGCGGUAAUACGUAGGGUCCAAGCGUUAAUCGGAAUUACUGGGCGUAAAGCGUGCGCAGGCGGUUGUGCAAGACCGAUGUGAAAUCCCCGAGCUUAACUUGGGAAUUGCAUUGGUGACUGCACGGCUAGAGUGUGUCAGAGGGGGGUAGAAUUCCACGUGUAGCAGUGAAAUGCGUAGAGAUGUGGAGGAAUACCGAUGGCGAAGGCAGCCCCCUGGGAUAACACUGACGCUCAUGCACGAAAGCGUGGG
rnacentral:rRNA from 1 species